CCCUUCCUGUCCAUGCAUCCUUUCCUCUCCCUCUCCUCUGCUCUUUGAGGAAAAAGGGAGAAAAAGAGAGGACUCAAGUAAAGAAAGAGAGGAUGAAUUCAUAGCUUUUUCUCACGGUUCCUCGCUGUUUCCCAAGGAUUCCCUAGGUUAUUCUACUUGAAGCUAGUAUGGAGGGCAGGGAUUAGAAGCAUGUCUUCACUUCAUGUCUUCACUUAAUAUCACCAAGUUGUAAUAAUAAAUUAUGGUUAGUCGUUAGAGUCGUGUGUUUGAAGUUUACGGUGAGGUUUUGAUUUUGAUCUUAAUGGUUUAUUCUUGGUCCUGGUUUGGAUGUUUUUAAUGCUAGUGUGUUAUGUUUUA